rnacentral:piRNA from 1 species
GCGGAGACGUGAUUGAUCGACUUUACCC